rnacentral:rRNA from 1 species
AUUGAACGCUGGCGGCAUGCUUUACACAUGCAAGUCGAACGGUAACAGGGAGCUUGCUCCGCUGACGAGUGGCGAACGGGUGCGUAAUGCGUCGGAACGUGCCGAGUAGUGGGGGAUAACGCAGCGAAAGUGGUGCUAAUACCGCAUACCUACUGAGGUAGAAAGUGGGGGACCUUCGGGCCUCAAGGUAUUCGAGCGUCCGACGUCUGAUUAGCUAGUAGGUGAGGUAAAGGCUCACCUAGGCGACGAUCAGUAGCGGGUCUGAGAGGAUGAUCCGACACACUGGGACUGAGACACGGCACAGACUCCUACGGGAGGCAGCAGUGGGGAAUGUUGGACAAUGGGCGAAAGCCUGAUCCAGCCAUGCCGCGUGUCUGAAGAAGGCCUUCGGGUUGUAAAGGACUUUUGUCGGGGAGGAAAUCCCCAGCGUUAAUACCGCUGGGGGAUGACAGUACCUGAAGAAUAAGCACCGGCUAACUACGUGCCAGCAGCCGCGGUAACAC